rnacentral:tRNA from 1 species
GCCUGGGUGGCUUAGUCAGUUAAGCGUCUGACUUCCACUCAGGUCAUGAUCUCGGGGUUUGUGGGUUCAAGCCCCGCGUUGGACA